rnacentral:lncRNA from 1 species
GUACAAUGUUGGAUUUGGGGAUUACUAAAAUUGGUGUGUGGGUGGUGAUAAAGAAUUAGAGUGGGGAAUUGGUUGGGAGGGAUGACAGAGCAUCAGUUUUGGUUUUUUGUAUUUUAUUAGUGUUCAUGCCAGCUACAUUUCUGUUACUCUUAUUGGCCAAGUAAAUGUGUUAUAUUAAACCAGGUAAGUAGUUUAAACAGAGGAAAUUUUACUUGCAAAUGUCCCUACAAAUUGGCCCAUUUUAGUGGGUGGGAGAACAAAAAGGGAUUACCUAACUUUAAAUACAAACUAAGUAAUUGAAAUAACCUGCUAGUUGAGAGGGAAAAAAGUCCAAUUUCUCAAUAUUUUCUUAAUCUGAAAUCACACUAGUAGUAAUAUGGUGAUUUUUAUUAUUAGGAGUGUUCUCCCUCUAGAGUGGCAUUCCAUGGCAUUAAUAGAAAACCCUUCUUUCCCACCCCUCCCCAUCUUCAAAUUUUCUUUUUUAGGAUGUUGGUUCCUGCACACAAGAACUGACCCUAUCACCUCUGCUCACAGUGGGUCAAUGUGCUAAAACCGAAUCGUAACAUUUUUAGGCACAAAUGGAAAAAAUGUUAUUGGCUCCUUGAGAAUGUGUGUGUGUGGCGAGGGGAACAGAUCCACAGAAGCAUGUGUGUACUUACAAACCAAGCUGUAGAGAUCAAGAGAAGAACUACAGUGUUGAUCUCAACGUUUCUAAAUUGUCAAGAUUUACAUGGCAUUGUGGUGAACUAGUUAACGCUUAGAGCUUUUGGUAUGUAAUAACUAUUUGCUAUGGACUGACUAAAUGUUUCAAAGGAUUGUGUUCUUAAAUUUUGGGGGGUUUUGUUUUUGUUUUUUUUUUAACUGC